AUUUGAGCCAGCGCGGGAAUUGAGGUCGGACAGUCGAAGAUCUUCUUGGGUCCGUGCCUCUGCUGGUUUGACUUGGGCGGCUCCAUCUUGAACGAAUUCUGAAGACACUCAUCACCAGUAAGUCAAAAUUGGGGGUGGCAUUAAAGAAGAACUCUCUGCCAAACUGCUACUCGUUGUGAAUGGCUGUACUCUCCCCUUUUUCCAAGGCCAUACACGAGACAGCCAUUUAUGUAAACAACAGCGGCGGUGUGUUUGAGAGUGGAGGGCGGCAGCUGCCAUCAGAUGUAUCAUCUUCUGUUUUCCCUCUCUCUUUGCAAAGAUUUCAUUAAAAUGACAAAAGACAA